UACGGGGGGAGCAAGCGUUGUUCGGAUUUACUGGGCGUAAAGGGCGCGUAGGCGGUCAGCACAAGUCAGUUGUGAAAUCUCCGGGCUUAACUCGGAACGGUCAACUGAUACUGUGCGACUAGAGUGCAGAGGGGGCAACUGGAAUUCUCGGUGUAGCGGUGAAAUGCGUAGAUAUCGAGAGGAACACCUGCGGCGAAGGCGGGUUGCUGGGCUGACGCUGACGCUGAGGCGCGAAAGCCAGGGGAGCGAACGGG
rnacentral:rRNA from 1 species